GAAGUCCAGGGCUUUCCAUCACUGUGUGAAGAGGAAGCUAGGGACAAAGGAUGGGCCACUCGAGGGGCCAGAGGGUCAGAGGGUCAGGGCUCUUGAUCUUGCAGGGAUGGUUUGGCAAGUUUAAAUGAGGUUGGGGUGGGGGGAAGAGAAAGGAAGCAGGCCUCUCAUUAGAAAAGGGUGGUUUGGGCUGUGGCCAGGAGAGUUAGCUUUCAAUCUCAUUCUGGUCUGGGUGCACAUCCAGCAAUCGCCCCCAUGAAAUGUGCAUCCAAUUGGUGUCAACUUCGAAACCGUGGUCCUGUUUUAGUGCUGCAGCAUUUGACGAGGAGGUGGCAGUUAGAUUAGGAGGCCUGGGCUGAAGCAAGCAAAGGCUUUAAGGUUUCGUGGCUGCCUGUCAGAUCCCAGGUUUCAAUUUAUUUACAGGAAAUAUGAUACCCAAGGAGGGAAACCAAAGGAGAAGACAUACAGCCAACUGAACACCAAAUCGAGACAUCUAUCCAAGGGCUGGGUACCUCUACUCUUUGAGCCCUGACAUGGGAUAAGGGGAAAAGAACCAAAGCUGGCUUACCUAGGGUGGAAACUGCCCCAGUCACAGAAGACCCCCAGAAGAGGCGUGACCACUUGGCAUAGUUAUGGCAGAUCUUUCAAUUGCACCUUUGGAAACAAGGGUGCAUCAUCAAGGAGUAGUCAAGGAUGAGCCUGAAACUAAGUUGCUGAUGACCAAGUGGAGAAAGCCAGUGACUAGGUCCCAAGCAAGAAGAACCAAGGCAGUGACCAGCAGACUCUGGAGUUAGUGAGAUGCACCAGCUCUAUUACAACACCUUUCUCUCUUGGGAAAAUGUAUUUUCCCCCUUUACCAGUCAAUCAUUCACUUUACGUUUUUCCCUCUGUUCCAAUGGGAACUAUGGGGUUAAAGGGACGGUGGUUUCAUCUCUUCUGGGUUGCCAGUUAAAGUAGAUGAUUUCUUUUCAUUUCUAUGCUAAUUAAUCUGCUAUUAAAUAUAACUUCAGCUUCAAUAGCCCUUCCCACAGAGAUAAUAGAUAUUUUUACUGUAUCUUUAAGAGAGCUCUUGGGGAGAGCAAUGGUUUAAAUGUCAUGUGGAGGAGUCAACUAUCAUGGUCGGAGACUAUAUGAAUCUCGUUGAGAAAUGACUAACAGAAUGUCUUUCCUGAGACACUGAGGAAGUUAAUUAUCAUCUUUGAGAAAAACUGAAAAAAAAUAUUUCCCAUGAGAAUUUAGUUCAUAUCCAAUGAAAGUAUAAUAAAAAGCAUUCCUGGGAGAUUUUUUUGCCUUCAUCUAGAGGGAACUGAAUGAUAGAAUUGUGUUUCCAGAAUUGAGAAGAAGUCAGUAAUAGCCUUGCUGGGUAGGAAUGAUUCUGGUAAUGAUUCUUUCACUGUGAUACACUGUUGAAAUAUUUAAAUAUGUCUUUAUAUUAGUUGUUAUACUGUUAAAUUAUAUAUACAUUUUAUUCAAUAUGAGUUGAAAGUCAGCCAAUGUUUAUUUAAGCUUGUGUGGUUAGGGAGCAGUUUGAAAAAGAGGAGUGAAAGCUUAUGGGAAAAGGUUUCCCUAGUUUACAUUAUACUCUGAAUUUGGGGCUCAGAACUAACUGAUUGACUGGAGAGAGGUUGUUCAUUUCUAUGAAUUUAUAAAGAAGUAUUAUAACAUAUUCUUCAAUUGCCUUAGAACCUGUGUUAAAAAUUAAUAAGGGAAUGAAUUAUAUAUCAAACUGAGGGGUAGGGGUUUGGUGUGGUGGUAAACCCACCCAACCCCAUGUAGGCAGUAGGAGGCACUUAGCCAUCAUUUUUAAAUCUUUCUGUAUUAAAAAAAAAACAGAUGGCCAACAACCUAUGCUUUCUGCAUUAAUGAGUGUAUGGGAUACAACCGAAGAAGAGAGAAGUCAGUACCCCUCAGAAGGAGGAAGGAGAUUUAUUUCUUUAUUUUUCCCUUAUUACUUCAGUUGAAGUUGGAACUAAACCUAAUGAGAGAGAGCCAGUUGUAUCAUAAUCUUCCAGAGGAUAUGUGAGUCAUGAUCACACCCCUACAUCAAAACAGAUGCAUAAAGACCAUAGGUGGAAGGAAAGUCAUGCAGUGUAAAGAAAGCAGCCAUUUCUUUUGCCUGAAGGCACCCCCACUACAAUGGCUGCUAAGUCUGACAGUCUGGCCUGGAAGGGAGGUGCUUCUUUGGGGUUUGCAAGAGCUUUGGCAAAAUUGUGCCUGGCCAGCUGUCUUGCUUCAGUCCUCCUGGCUCAUACACUCCUCCAGAUGGGAUGGAAAACCAAGUCUUUAGCACUUACUGUGUUCCAAGCACUGACAAAUGCUAGGAAUACAAACAGAAAAUCAAGAUAGCCCCUGCUCUCAGUGAGCUCACAAUCUAAUUGAGGGGAGAGACAUACAUAUAGGACAUACACAUCCUGUAGCUGCAGGAUGGACUGAAGGCCCAAUACUCCUAAUGUACAAAGCUCAUGGAAGACGAAAUCCAUAACAGUGAGACACAAACUAACUCCACCAAUUAGACCAAGUUUAGCAAUCUAUGCAGUCAUCACUUACACAGCACUGGAAAGUUCUGUUAGAGGAUAAUCUAAAACGCGAAGCUUAGAAAUACCCACAAACCAUGUGUUCUGGGGAAUCAGCAGGAGUCACAGGGGAUCUAUAGCCAUCUUUGUCCCAGACAUGAAUGUUACAGGUGCAGACUUAGUGAAUGGUUUUUCUUACUCAAAACCACCAGAAGCACAUAGAGCAGUCAUUUCAAACUCAAAUAGAAAUGGGGGCUACUAAACCAGACAUAAGGAUCCCUGAGAGCAGCCGGUUGGCUUAGA